UCAAGUCCAAUUUAAUAUAAGUCUAAUAAUAUUUAAGUCUAUUAAAUUAAGUCAAUUUUUAUAGCACUAGACAAGACAAGACACAAUUCAAGGAUUAACUUCGAUUUUUCUGUUGAAUAGACGUCGAUGAACGUGACACAAGCGCCGAAGUUGUUGUGAAAUAAAAUGAGUAUGACAUUUCGACUUUGUUGUUCGUCAAGUUGAGGUUAGAAAUAUUAUCAAUUUGCUCGGCCACUGGACAGUUGUUCAUAUUCUACACGAUCUCACAUUUUGGAGCGACGGUUUUUUCCAUUAUAAUGACUCUUCGGCAGGCCGUUGCAGUCUUAUUAUCAUGCAUCAUGUAUGGGCAUUACAUUUCGGCUGUCGGCAUCUUUGGCGUAAUGAUUAUAUUUUCGGCGUUAUUUUUGCAAAUUUAUUGUAAACAACGCUUGGGAAUGCUGCGUCGCAAAACCGAAGCCAAUGAAUCAUUGCUCAGCCUAAGCGAGCGCAGAGCAAACGUUUAAAGCCAGUGAUAUCGUUACCAACCAGUUUGAACAUAUUCGAUGUGAACCAAAGCAAAUUUCAACCACUCCUGCUUUCAGUGUUAUACAAGCGUUAAUGCGCCAGCGCGAGUUCAAUUGCAUAUGUACUUAAAGCCAGCUGUAGAUGGAUUUUUGAAUAUAAGUGUCUAUAAAGUUGUAUGAUUGAUAAGCCACAAUU